rnacentral:rRNA from 2 species
CUAUGGAGCUUUAAACACUUAAGUUACUAUCUUACUUAUCAAUUAAUCUAAAGACCUAACCUCCCCUAAUAGUAGCCUAACUUAAUGUUUUCGGUUGGGGCGACCAAGGAGUAAAAGAAAACCUCCUUAUCGAUUGAGUAUUUUUACUUAAAAACCAGAACGACAGUUCUGAUCAAUAGAAUAUCUAACGAAUAAUGACCCAGGGCUACACCCUGAUCAAUGAACCAAGUUACCCUAG